rnacentral:lncRNA from 1 species
GUGAAUGAUGGAUGUUUGUGAACUUGUGAAUGAUGGAUGUUUAUGAGACAUGUUAUAUAUAUAUAUAUGUGUGUUAUCUGUAUAUCUGUUAUAUAUAUCUGUGAAUAUCUGUUAUAUAUAUCUGUGAAUAAGAGCUGGAAACAAAAAAAUAAAAAUAACAAAAACCUCUCUGGAUGUUUGCCGAGAGCCAGGACAGGCCAGCGCUCGGCAAAGGCCUGCUAUUUGCCGAGAGCCAGGCAGGCAGAGCGCUCGGCAAACGCCUUUGCCGAGAGCUGUACUCUCGGCAAAGAACUCUCGGC